AAAAACACAAAUUAAAAAAAACGAUCCUGGACGUCGAGGGUCGGACUCUAGGGAGGGCAAGCUGCAGGCCCCACUCUGCGAGUUUCUGUCCGCAUUCCGCGGAGGCCCCAAUCCUCCCCGCGUAUCCUGGCAAGCAGUGACGCGCCGCCUGGGAGCUGGAGCCCGCGCAGCGCCCCGCAGGGCGAUGGACGGCCGAACCCCGCGCCCGCAGGACGUCCCAGCCGGAGUCCCUGUGAAGCAGGAAGAGUGAGGGCAGGUUCAUUGCAGCUCAGCAGCACGUCUGCAGGGAAUUCAUCUUUGAGAAGGACAAAGCGAAAAGCACCUUCCCCACCCUCCAAAAUACCCCCGCAUCAAAGUGAUGAAAAUAGUCGUGUGACUGCCUUACAGCCAGUAGAUGGAGUUCCUCCAGACAGUGCUUCAGAAGCAAACUCUCCUGAGGAGCUAUCCAGCCCAGCUGGAAUAAGCUCUGAUUAUAGCCUUGAAGAGAUAGAUGAAAAGGAAGAACUGAGUGAAGUGCCUAAAGUUGAAGCUGAAAAUAUUUCUCCGAAGUCACAAGAUAUUCCUUUUGUAUCUACUGAUAUAAUAAAUACACUGAAAAAUGAUC
rnacentral:sRNA from 1 species